rnacentral:tRNA from 2 species
UGCCCCGUGGCUUAGUUGGUUACGGCGUCCGACUGUUAUGUUGGCAUCGGAAGAUCGAGAGUUCAAGUCUCUCCGGGGCAG